UACGAGGGGUGCAAGCGUUAAUCGGAAUUACUGGGCGUAAAGCGCGCGUAGGCGGCUUGAUAAGUCGGAUGUGAAAGCCCCGGGCUCAACCUGGGAAUUGCAUCUGUGACUGCAUAGCUAGAGUACGGUAGAGGGGGAUGGAAUUCCGCGUGUAGCAGUGAAAUGCGUAGAUAUGCGGAGGAACACCGAUGGCGAAGGCAAUCCCCUGGACCUGUACUGACGCUCAUGCACGAAAGCGUGGGGAGCAAACAGGAUUAGAUACCCGGGUAGU
rnacentral:rRNA from 1 species